rnacentral:lncRNA from 1 species
UUGAAACCUAGAGCCCUUUCCUGUGUCUUCAUUGGGUAUCCUUUUGCCAAAAAGGGUUAUAAGCUUUAUGACCUUACUUCAAAGAAAUACUUUAUCUCCAGGGAUGUUAUAUUUCAUGAAACCUACUUUCCUUUUAAGAAUGUUUCAUCUCCUUAUCCUUCUUCCUUUCCCUCAGUUCCUCCUCUUGAGCCUUCCUUCUCUGACACUGACUUGUUGAUACCGGUUUGUUCCUCUCCUCCUCCUCCUUCUGCCACCACUUCUCCUUCUUUUAAUCCAGCCUUCAUUCCUUCCUUCAAUCCUCUCCUCCUAAUUUGCCUUCUUCCACAUCUGCCUCUCCUUCUUCUAAUCCAGCCUCCAUUCCUCCCUUCAAUCCUUAUACCUCUCCUCCUAAUUUGCCUUCUUCCACAUCUGCUCCUGCUCCUAGAAAAUCUGGAAGACAGCAUAAUCCUCCCUCUUAUCUUAAGGACUAUGUCUGCCAACUUCCAGCCUUUUCUGGCUCCUCUUCUUAUUCUCUGGAAUCUGAACCUCUCUAUUACUCUCAAGCUGCAUCUGUUCCAGUAUGGC